rnacentral:rRNA from 1 species
UACGAAGGGGGCUAGCGUUGCUCGGAAUCACUGGGCGUAAAGCGCACGUAGGCGGACUCUUAAGUCGGUGGUGAAAUCCUGGAGCUCAACUCCAGAACUGCCUUCGAUACUGAGAGUCUCGAGUCCGAGAGAGGUGAGUGGAACUGCGAGUGUAGAGGUGAAAUUCGUAGAUAUUCGCAAGAACACCAGUGGCGAAGGCGGCUCACUGGCUCGGUACUGACGCUGAGGUGCGAAAGCGUGGGAGCAAACAGGG